rnacentral:rRNA from 1 species
UGAGUAACACGUGGGCAAUCUGCCCUGCACUUCGGGAUAAGCCUGGGAAACUGGGUCUAAUACCGGAUAGGACCUUUAGACGCAUGUCUUUUGGUGGAAAGCUUUUGCGGUGUGGGAUGGGCCCGCGGCCUAUCAGCUUGUUGGUGGGGUGAUGGCCUACCAAGGCGACGACGGGUAGCCGGCCUGAGAGGGUGUCCGGCCACACUGGGACUGAGAUACGGCCCAGACUCCUACGGGAGGCAGCAGUGGGGAAUAUUGCACAAUGGGCGCAAGCCUGAUGCAGCGACGCCGCGUGGGGGAUGACGGCCUUCGGGUUGUAAACCUCUUUCACCAUCGACGAAGGUUCGGGUUUUCUCGGAUUGACGGUAGGUGGAGAAGAAGCACCGGCCAACUACGUGCCAGCAGCCGCGGUAAUACGUAGGGUGCGAGCGUUGUCCGGAAUUACUGGGCGUAAAGAGCUCGUAGGUGGUUUGUCGCGUUGUUCGUGAAAUCUCACGGCUUAACUGUGAGCGUGCGGGCGAUACGGGCAGACUAGAGUACUGCAGGGGAGACUGGAAUUCCUGGUGUAGCGGUGGAAUGCGCAGAUAUCAGGAGGAACACCGGUGGCGAAGGCGGGUCUCUGGGCAGUAACUGACGCUGAGGAGCGAAAGCGUGGGGAGCGAACAGGAUUAGAUACCCUGGUAGUCCACGCCGUAAACGGUGGGUACUAGGUGUGGGUUUCCUUCCUUGGGAUCCGUGCCGUAGCUAACGCAUUAAGUACCCCGCCUGGGGAGUACGGCCGCAAGGCUAAAACUCAAAGGAAUUGACGGGGGGCCCGCACAA